CGACCGGCGCACGGGCGAGUAACACGUAUCCAACCUGCCGAUAACUCGGGGAUAGCCUUUCGAAAGAAAGAUUAAUAUCCGAUAGCAUAUCAAUCCGGCAUGAGAUUGAUAUUAAAGAAUUUCGGUUAUCGAUGGGGAUGCGUUCCAUUAGUUUGUUGGCGGGGUAACGGCCCACCAAGACUACGAUGGAUAGGGGUUCUGAGAGGAAGGUCCCCCACAUUGGAACUGAGACACGGUCCAA
rnacentral:rRNA from 1 species